rnacentral:rRNA from 1 species
CCCUUAGAUGUUCUGGGCCGCACGCGCGCUACAAUGAUGAAUUCAACGAGUUUAUAACCUUGGUUGAAAAGCCUGGGUAAUCUUUUGAACUUUCGUCGUGAUGGGGCUAGACCCUUGCAAUUAUUGGUCUCCAACGAGGAAUUCCUAGUAAACGCAAGCCAUCAGCUUGCAUUGAUUACGUCCCUGCCCUUUGUACACACCGCCCGUCGCACCUACCGAUUGAAUGGUCCGGUGAAAUCUUCGGAUUGAGACUUUGAUUUCUUCACGGAAAACGCUGUUUUAAAAAGUUGAUUAAACCUUACCAUUUAGAGGAAGGUGAAGUCGUAACA